UGGGCACCCCCAGUCUUUCCAUCCUCCUCAUUCGUCUAGGGGCACCCGAAUCCCCUAUUCCUUAUUUCCCCUAUCACUCAGGCACUGGCAGGGUCCUUGGCCCACUCCUGUUGGCCGCCGCGGCUCCAAAGCGAGAUGUGCCUGAGACAGGUUUGACCAGGCAACUGAAAAGACAUCCCUAAGGGAAGACAAAGCAAAGGUAUGAAAGGAACACACGUCCCUGACUGACUAGGAGGAACAGAGCUGCCUGCUGUCUGGAACCGCUUCCUCCCAGACUAAGUGAGAAAUAAACUUCUGUUUUCUAUAU
rnacentral:lncRNA from 1 species